AACCCCUGUUGCCUCUUCUGCUUACUAUCUUCAUUUUAUUGUAACCAAGUUCUGAUAAUGAAAACUGUCAGCUUUCGGGUUUCCAGCCUCCAUAAUAAAGACUUGAAAUCUAUAAGCAAAACGAUUACCACAGAGAAGGAAUUAGAUCUCAAGGUAGGACUGCAGUAUAAGAUCUCUCACAAUUUUGAUUUCAAAAUUUCAUCUUCUUGGCCUCAUUCAUGGGUUCAAGGUUCUGCUGUAGAUGGAUCGUGUUUGGCUGUUGUUAUCACUUACCAGGGUGGGUUUGCUUUAAUGGUUCCAUUCGCUCAAACAUGGGAGAUUUUUCCAGUUGCGGAUUCUAUAUGCAAAUUCAAAUAACCAAAGAGCAACUUUCUGAGUUCAGAUACCGGUCAAUAUGCCUCAACUUCUAGCAUUGUGUUGCUUAAGAAAUGAAAUAGUUGUUAAUUUGGACAAAAGGUUUGAAUUUUCCUUUCCAGUUGCUUUUGUUGGCUAAAAUAUUUGAAUGGUAUCUUGCGCUUCUUUUUUCAACUUACAUUUUAUGGUGUUAUCAGUUUACAUUUAUGUAUCUUUAGAUUUGUCUAACUCAAAACGAAACCAUUUAUUGUCUACGGGUCAAACAUAACUGGGUCGAUAUGUGCCCCAUUUGCUACUAUCACAAAGGGCUCCUCGACUGAAUAAAAUUGACGCCGCAUUUGCUACCAUCCGAAUAUAUUGACUCCGUUAAUUCCAUUUCAGUGAUUCCUGAUUGUUGCUGUUUAAUUUCAGGGAAGCAAAUAAGUAAUACGUUGAUCGAGAAACAAACAGAUUUUGAUGACAAAUUAAGAGACUAGCCUUGGUGUUGGCAAUCUUUUCUUUGCAGAUUGAAGUGAUUCGGAUAAACAAAAAAAAUCAAGUUCUCAACCUUAUAUGCAGUGCAUUUUGGGUGGAAGUCUCUCUCUCUUUGCAUCAGUAUUAUUUUCAACGUAUAUGCUUAAGGCUUCGUAAACCUCCAUUUUUGUUUUCCUUUGUUGUAAUGUUGUAAAACGAAUAUAUGGGUAUACAGAUUGUUUUUGUAUAAUAAUAAUGGUUCAGUAUGUUGCUUAUGCUAUGUAAAAGCUAGCACAAUGGUAUUGUGAUUCCAGCAACAAAGUGUUCGGAUA